rnacentral:rRNA from 1 species
GGAUUGUAGUCUGCAACCCGACUACAUGAAGCUGGAAUCGCUAGUAAUCGCAGGUCAGCAUACUGCGGUGAAUACGUUCCCGGGUCUUGUACACACCGCCCGUCACACCAUGGGAGCCGGAAAUGCCCGAAGCCAGUGACCCAACCUUAGGGAGGGAGCUGUCGAAGGUGGAGCCGGUAACUGGGGUGAAGUCGUAACAAGGUAGC